AACGAACGCUGGCGGCAUGCCUAACACAUGCAAGUCGAACGAUUGCCUUCGGGUGAUAGUGGCGCACGGGUGCGUAACGCGUGGGAAUCUGCCCUUAGGUUCGGAAUAACAGCUGGAAACGGCUGCUAAUACCGGAUGAUAUCGCGAGAUCAAAGAUUUAUCGCCUGAGGAUGAGCCCGCGUUGGAUUAGGUAGUUGGUGGGGUAAAGGCCUACCAAGCCGACGAUCCAUAGCUGGUCUGAGAGGAUGAUCAGCCACACUGGGACUGAGACACGGCCCAGACUCCUACGGGAGGCAGCAGCGGGGAAUAUUGGACAAUGGGCGCAAGCCUGAUCCAGCAAUGCCGUGUGAGUGAUGAAGGCCCUAGGGUUGUAAAGCUCUUUUACCCGGGAAGAUAAUGACUGUACCGGGAGAAUAAGCCCCGGCUAACUCCGUG
rnacentral:rRNA from 1 species